AUAGUCCACACUCUGACAUCAUACUGCACUAUCAGCGUGCUCUCACUUCCCAUCGAGACCAGAGCACAUAUUGCCUUGGCUAUACAAAAAUAUUUCUAUUCUCCCUGCGUUAUACUACCGUACGUUGGAGAGCGAGACAUGAAAUAUGAUGUCGAGGCAGUGGCACUACAGACGCUUCUAUCUGCAAAUGGCGUCCCGACGGCGACUCUGCCCGUCAGUAUGACAAAUGAAUCUUCCCAAAAGGGGACGUGUUGCAAGAAGCAACCCCUCUACGUCUUCGUGACAAGUGGACCCGCAGUUCAGCGAUUCUUGAAACAGGCAUCAGUGGACGUGUUAUCGGGCGCCAGGUGGCUUCUGUUCCUGGGGCAGAAC